GACGAACGCUGGCGGCGUGCUUAACACAUGCAAGUCGAACGGAAAGGCCCUGCUUGCAGGGUACUCGAGUGGCGAACGUGUGAGUAACACGUGGGUGAUCUGCCCUGCACUUCGGGAUAAGCCUGGGAAACUGGGUCUAAUACCGGAUAGGAGCCAUUUUUAGUGUGAUGGUUGGAAAGUUUUUUCGGUGUAGGAUGAGCUCGCGGCCUAUCAGCUUGUUGGUGGGGUAAUGGCCUACCAAGGCGGCGACGGGUAGCCGGCCUGAGAGGGUGGACGGCCACAUUGGGACUGAGAUACGGCCCAGACUCCUACGGGAGGCAGCAGUGGGGAAUAUUGCACAAUGGGCGCAAGCCUGAUGCAGCGACGCCGCGUGGGGGAUGACGGCCUUCGGGUUGUAAACUCCUUUCGCUAGGGACGAAGCUUUUUGUGACGGUACCUAGAUAAGAAGCACCGGCUAACUACGUG
rnacentral:rRNA from 1 species